CGGAUGCUCAACCAUCUUAGUGACAUGUCACUUGUAUCCUAAUCUAUUCCUAAGGUUCAAACGGGAUUUUCCUCGAACACAUAUCCUUGCCAUCUUUCGUAAAAUACCGAAACCAAUACUCGGUAGCACUUUAUAUUUAACAGAUAAUACACAUAACUUGCAUUUUAUUCGAAAAUAACCACAAAGCAUAUAUUUCAUGAU
rnacentral:lncRNA from 1 species